ACACACGUAUAAAUACCUGUUCUUCUGUCAAAGUUCUUGUUGUUGAUGAUGAUACACUGUCCUAUGCAGGGGAACUUGAGGCUGUAUCUGAAGCUGUGAGACUGAGCCUGGGCAUCCACAUCCAUGGAGCUAGGCGAGGAACCUUCUGACCUGGAGGGAGGACAAACCACGGCUUCCUCGGUCACCUUGUGUCAUCUGUCAAAAAUGAUUAGGUUAAUUGGAUCCAGAUUCGACCAUCACUGAGCCAUCUAUACAUGAAAUAAGACGCCGGCCGAGCCGAUGACAGUGGCGGGCGGCGUGUCCUCUCUCACCAAAAGACAUCUCACGACUGGUGAUUCAGAAUGUCCAAACUGGGCCUCGUCUCCAUGGACCUGCAAAGGACAUAUUAGUACUGAUCGAAAUAAAGACAUUUUCAAUAUCUUAUGUCACGUUGACUCCAUCUUAAACCCAUCUUACCUUAAAAUCUGCUGCUAUUUUCACAACAAUGACUUAAGAAAAAACAAAAUGGUGGACGUUU